rfam:Cladophialophora carrionii strain KSF mitochondrion, complete sequence, whole genome shotgun sequence.
GACCCAGUGGUCAAGUUGGUUAAGACAUAACAUUUUCACUGUUAAAACGAGAGUUCGAAUCUCUUCUGGGUUA